UACGAAGGGAGCUAGCGUUGUUCGGAAUUACUGGGCGUAAAGGGCGCGCAGGCGGCCCUUGAAGUCAGGCGUGAAAGCCCCGGGCUCAACCUGGGAGGUGCGCUUGAUACUCGAGGGCUUGAGUGCGGGAGAGGAGAGUGGAAUUCCCAGUGUAGAGGUGAAAUUCGUAGAUAUUGGGAAGAACACCGGUGGCGAAGGCGGCUCUCUGGACCGUAACUGACGCUGAGGCACGAAAGCGUGGGUAGCAAACAGG
rnacentral:rRNA from 1 species